rnacentral:rRNA from 1 species
UCUACGGCUACCUUGUUACGACUUCACCCCAGUCAUCAGCCCCACCUUCGGCGCCCUCCUCCGCGAACGGUUAGAGUAACGACUUCGGGCGUGGCCAACUCCCAUGGUGUGACGGGCGGUGUGUACAAGGCCCGGGAACGUAUUCACCGCCGUAUGCUGACCGGCGAUUACUAGCGAUUCCUCCUUCAUGCAGGCGAGUUGCAGCCUGCAAUCUGAACUGUGCCUCGGUUUAUGAGAUUAGCUCACUAUCGCUAGUUGGCUGCUCUUUGUCCGAAGCAUUGUAGUACGUGUGUAGCCCAGAACGUAAGGGGCAUGAUGACUUGACGUCAUCCACACCUUCCUCCGAGUUGUCCCCGGCAGUCUCCCCAGAGUGCCCAACUUAAUGAUGGCAACUAAGGACGUGGGUUGCGCUCGUUGCGGGACUUAACCCAACAUCUCACGACACGAGCUGACGACAGCCAUGCACCACCUGUCUCCUCGCUCCCGAAGGCACUCCUCUCUUUCAAAAGGAUUCGAGGGAUGUCAAGCCCUGGUAAGGUUCUUCGCGUUGCAUCGAAUUAAACCACAUACUCCACCGCUUGUGCGGGCCCCCGUCAAUUCCUUUGAGUUUCACACUUGCGUGCGUACUCCCCAGGCGGGAUACUUAUCGCGUUGGCUGCGGUACUGAACGGGUCGAUACGUCCAACACCUAGUAUCCAUCGUUUACAGCUAGGACUACAGGGGUAUCUAAUCCCUUUCGCUCCCCUAGCUUUCGUCCCUCAGCGUCAGUUACGGCCCAGUAGAGCGCCUUCGCCACUGGUGUUCUUCCCAAU